CGAGGGGGGUCGCGGAGUUAAGAAUGCGCAAAGUCUCCCAGGCUCUCUAAAAAGACCACUGAGUUUCAUUCGAACCACUGCCCGAGGACUCGACCCCCCAAACUGGGCAUCACCUGGCAAAUAGCAGUCAGAAGAAAUCCACCCAUCCCCCCCCCAAAAAAAGAAGUGGGGCGGCAGUAGAGCAAAGAGGGGGGAAAUUCAGCGGCCCAUGGAAGUUGGAUUCGGUAACCAGGCUCCAAAGUUGGUGCCGUCACUUGAGGCAUCCAUAAGGAAGCCCAUUGACCUAAUUGCUGCCAUCAACCCAGGGACAAAGCCAAUCGGGUGGACAGCGGAGAGGCAAUAUGGGAAGGACCUUGGUCCUUGAAGAUAUUGUGCCACUAUAUCAAGCAACCGCUGAAGCCUGAAUUACCUCUGGAUGCCUAAUAACGUGG
rnacentral:lncRNA from 1 species